rnacentral:rRNA from 1 species
GACGAACGCUGGCGGCGUGCUUAACACAUGCAAGUCGAACGGAAAGGCCCUGCUUUUGUGGGGUGCUCGAGUGGCGAAAGGGUGAGUAACACGUGAGUAACCUGCCCUUGACUUUGGGAUAACUUCAGGAAACUGGGGCUAAUACCGGAUAGGAGCUCCUGCUGCAUGGUGGGGGUUGGAAAGUUUCGGCGGUUGGGGAUGGACUCGCGGCUUAUCAGCUUGUUGGUGGGGUAGUGGCUUACCAAGGCUUUGACGGGUAGCCGGCCUGAGAGGGUGACCGGCCACAUUGGGACUGAGAUACGGCCCAGACUCCUACGGGAGGCAGCAGUGGGGAAUAUUGCACAAUGGGCGGAAGCCUGAUGCAGCAACGCCGCGUGCGUGAUGACGGCCUUCGGGUUGUAAACCGCUUUCGCCUGUGACGAAGCGUGAGUGACGGUAAUGGGUAAAGAAGCACCGGCUAACUACGUG